ACGUAAGGGGCGAGCGUUGUUCGGAAUUAUUGGGCGUAAAGGGCACGCAGGCGGUUUUACAAGUCUGAUGUUAAAGACCUGGGCUCAACUCAGGGAGUGCGUUGGAAACUGUAAGACUAGAGUAUUAGAGGGGGAGUUGGAAUUCCUAGUGUAGGGGUGAAAUCUGUUGAUAUUAGGAAGAACACCGGUGGCGAAGGCGAACUCCUGGCUGAAUACUGACGCUGAGGUGCGAAAGCAUAGGGAGCAAACAGGAUUAGAUACCCUGGUAGUCUAUGCUGUAAACGAUGUGCACUUGGUGUUGGGCCGAUUAGGUUCAGUGCCGUAGCUAACGCGAUAAGUGCACCGCCUGGGGAGUAUGCUCGCAAGGGUG
rnacentral:rRNA from 1 species